rnacentral:rRNA from 1 species
GACGAACGCUGGCGGCGUGCCUAAUACAUGCAAGUCGAGCGGAAGUUGAAGAGCUUGCUCUUCAACUUUAGCGGCGGACGGGUGAGUAACACGUGGGCAACCUGCCCUGCAGAUCGGGAUAACUCCGGGAAACCGGUGCUAAUACCGAAUAGUUUUCGCCACCUCCUGGUGGCGUACGGAAAGACGGUUUCGGCUGUCACUGCAGGAGGGGCCCGCGGCGCAUUAGCUAGUUGGUGGGGUAACGGCCCACCAAGGAAACGAUGCGUAGCCGACCUGAGAGGGUGAUCGGCCACACUGGGACUGAGACACGGCCCAGACUCCUACGGGAGGCAGCAGUAGGGAAUCUUCCGCAAUGGACGAAAGUCUGACGGAGCAACGCCGCGUGAGUGACGAAGGUUUUCGGAUCGUAAAACUCUGUUGUGAGGGAAGAACAAGUACCACUUAACUACUGGUACCUUGACGGUACCUCACCAGAAAGCCACGGCUAACUACGUGCCAGCCGCCGCGGUAAUAC